AAUUUUAAUAUUGUUUUUUUGGAUUGUUGAGAGAAAGCCUUUUAGGUAUGGCUAAAGAUUCCACAAAGAGCUUAUGCAGAAAUGUUAGUGUAAAAUCAAAGUUUAAACGCAACGUAUCCGUUUGGUUUUCCAGCAUUUGUUUAUACGGUUACUUUUAAAAAUAAGCUUAUAUAACCUUUUUCGUUUGGCUUUUCAUUUCUUAACACCGUUUCUACGCAGAUUCGAAAGGUUUCCUCCAAUUGUGAAAACAGAAGUGCCUGUAGAUGGAAGGUUUGAGCAUAUAGUUCUUUCUUACAAUGCUACACCAAAUCAUGCCAUUAUUUGGAUAGAGAAAGAGGCUCAAAGGGCUUUAAAUUUGAUGCUGGAGAAAGAUAAUACCAUGGAAGUACCAGGGAAGAAAAUCAUGGAGUGUUAGGAAACAAUCGCCAGACACAACCAAGAGUACAUAGCAGCAUUACAAAGGGCGAAAAUGUUACAUGUUCCUCACGCUUUUAAUCCACCGUCGCAAUACGGACAUUUUGAUGAUGAUGAUGAUGGAGAGGAACAAUUGUCUCUCAUGUGUUUGAUUUUGUUGGUCCAUUGUUGUAACUUAUAGCCCGAAUCAAAUUUGGAAAAUGGAAGAAUCAGUGCAAAUUGGCAUGGAAUAUAAACCAGUGGAGUUAAUUAAAUCGAUAAGAACAAAGAUUAAGUACUAAAUCACUUGAACUAAACAGGUUAAUUAAUGUUUGAGCUUCCAGCUUUAUAAGAAAAAUACUUAUUUGGAGCAGCUGGAACUAGAUAUGCAUAAUAGACAAUCUAGAUUAAUGGAUGCCAGUGGGAACUCUCAUUGUUGGUGAUGAUAAUCCAGUGGACAAGAAUAAGAGUUGGUGUGCGCUUUUGACCAGGCCAAUUGGUGGAGAUUGUUGUGGCAAAGGUGACUGUUCCUAAGAGGAUUUGGCACCUUCAGCAUGAAGUUGUUGUCGUCCCGUAAUCUUGGUCGUUCUUAUAGUUGUAUGCAGCAUAGAAAACUGAUUUCGCAUCCUUGCCGCUAAAGAAUCUGAAAUCUUAGGUUGGUUGUGUAGGUAGUGCCAUGUAGGAUCUUCAUGGAUGUCCAUUAUUUUGAAUGAGCAAGCACUAAAAUCUCUAUGGAAUGGUGUUGGAUUAUCCUCUGUCAUGAAAAAACUAGCAGGCACUUCUCUUUAAAGUAAUUUCAAUGUAGCUUGUGGAUUUUUGUGAGAAUUGUGAGAAAUGAAUGCACAAAUGCUAGCGGCCAUGCAGCAAGUUUGCAAGAGCAAAUUUCACAUAAUUAUCCCUUGACAAAUUAUCGUGCACAACUUGAAUUUCUGAUUUGUGAUACUCUUGUCAUUGACAGUCAUUUACCUGAAUCGAAAUAAACGGUGAUACCUUGUAU